rnacentral:ncRNA from 1 species
AAGAGGGGUGCCUUGCCGAGAGGACACGGAAAGGCUGAGAUCAUACCCUAUGAACUUGAUGCGGGCAAUACCGUCGAAAGGACUUGUUC